UUUUUUUUGGAAUUGAACCCAGGGCCACUUAACCACUGAGCCACAUCCCAGCCCUUUUUAUUUUUCAUUUUGAGUUAGGGUCUUGCUGAGUUUCUUAGGGCCUAAGUUGCUGAGGCUGGGCUUAAACUUGGCAGUCCUCCUAUCUCAGCCUCCCAGUGUGUACCCCUAUGCCUUGCUCUAAGCUAAUUAUUUAUAUAAUGAUUGUGUUUAGUAAAAGAAUUAUAGAAAACAUUUUAUGGUCCUAAUGUGUGAGAACACUGGUUUCUGUGGAUAGUCAGAAGUUUCCAAUAAUCUGAAGUGAAUGUUAGCUAGUGAACUUCUUCUUUUCUUUGUUCUUUUAGAUUGAGCAGUUUUUAAGUAUGGUAGAUUCUUCACUUCUUUUUUUUCCCCUCAAUUUUGAAGAUGUUAUUUUCUUUCUUUCUUUCUUUCUUUCUUUCUUUCUUUCUUUCUUUCUUUCUUUC
rnacentral:lncRNA from 1 species